rnacentral:rRNA from 1 species
GACGAACGCUGGCGGCGUGCUUAACACAUGCAAGUCGAACGGAAAGGCCCUGCUUUUGUGGGGUGCUCGAGUGGCGAACGGGUGAGUAACACGUGAGUAACCUGCCCUUGACUUUGGGAUAACUUCAGGAAACUGGGGCUAAUACCGGAUAGGAGCUCCUGCUGCAUGGUGGGGGUUGGAAAGUUUCGGCGGUUGGGGAUGGACUCGCGGCUUAUCAGCUUGUUGGUGGGGUAGUGGCUUACCAAGGCUUUGACGGGUAGCCGGCCUGGGAGGGUGACCGGCCACAUUGGGACUGAGAUACGGCCCAGAAUCCUACGGGAGGCAGCAGUGGGGAAUAUUGCACAAUGGGCGGAAGCCUGAUGCAGCAACGCCGCGUGCGGGAUGACGGCCUUCGGGUUGUAAACCGCUUUCGCCUGUGACGAAGCGUGCGUGACGGUAAUGGGUAAAGAAGCACCGGCUAACUACGUG